rnacentral:rRNA from 1 species
AGUGAACGCUGGCGGCAGGCCUAACACAUGCAAGUCGAACGGCAGCACAGCAGUAGCAAUACUGUGGGUGGCGAGUGGCGGACGGGUGAGGAAUACAUCGGAAUCUACCUUGUCGUGGGGGAUAACGUAGGGAAACUUACGCUAAUACCGCAUACGAACUAUGGUUGAAAGCGGCGGACCGCAAGGCGUCGCGCGAUUGGAUGAGCCGAUGUCCGAUUAGCUAGUUGGCGGGGUAAAGGCCCACCAAGGCGACGAUCGGUAGCUGGUCUGAGAGGAUGAUCAGCCACACUGGAACUGAGACACGGUCCAGACUCCUACGGGUGGCAG